AUUGAACGCUGGCGGCAUGCCUUACACAUGCAAGUCGAACGGUAGCACGGGAGCAAUCCUGGUGGCGAGUGGCGAACGGGUGAGUAAAGUAUCGGAACGUGCCCAGUCGUGGGGGAUAACGUAGCGAGAGUUACGCUAAUACCGCAUACGAUCUAUGGAUGAAAGCGGGGGAUCGCAAGACCUCGCGCGAUUGGAGCGGCCGAUAUCAGAUUAGGUAGUUGGUGGGGUAAAGGCUCACCAAGCCGACGAUCUGUAGCUGGUCUGAGAGGACGACCAGCCACACUGGGACUGAGACACGGCCCAGACUCCUACGGGAGGCAGCAGUGGGGAAUUUUGGACAAUGGGCGCAAGCCUGAUCCAGCCAUGCCGCGUGCAGGAUGAAGGCCUUCGGGUUGUAAACUGCUUUUGUACGGAACGAAAAGGUUUGACUUAAUACGUUGGACUCAUGACGGUACCGUAAGAAUGAGCACCGGCUAACUACGUGCCAGCAGCCGCGGUAA
rnacentral:rRNA from 1 species